UAGUGAAUAUUAGAAAUGGACGAAAGUCUGAUCUAGCAACACCGCGUGUGCGAUGAAGGCCUUCGGGUUGUAAAGCACUUUUUGGAAGGAUUAGGAAGGAAUGUACUUCCAGAAUAAGUCUCGGCUAACUACGUGCCAGCAGCCGCGGUAACACGUAGGAGGCGAACGUUAUCCGGAUUUACUGGGCGUAAAGCGCGUGUAGGUGGUUCUGUAAGUAGGGCGUGAAAGCUCCUGGCUCAACUGGGAGAGGCCGUUCUAAACUACAGAACUAGAGGGUGGUAGAGGGAGGUGGAAUUCCAGGUGUAGCGGUGGAAUGCGCAGAUAUCUGGAGGAACACCAGUGGCGAAGGCGGCCUCCUGGACCAUUCCUGACACUCAGACGCGAAAGCUAGGGUAGCAAACG
rnacentral:rRNA from 1 species